rnacentral:rRNA from 1 species
AUACGGAGGGUCCAAGCGUUAUCCGGAUUCAUUGGGUUUAAAGGGUCCGCAGGCGGGAAAAUAAGUCAGUGAUGAAAGCCUACAGCCCAACUGUAGAACUGCCAUUGAAACUGUUUUUCUUGAGUAUAGAUGAAGUGGGCGGAAUAUAUCAUGUAGCGGUGAAAUGCAUAGAUAUGAUAUAGAACACCGAUUGCGAAGGCAGCUCACUAAACUAUUACUGACGCUCAGGGACGAAAGCGUGGGGAGCGAACAGGAUUAGAAACCCUAGUAGUCC